AAUACCGGCGCCUCAAGUGGUAGUCGAUUUUAUUGGGCCUAAAACGUCCGUAGCCUGUUUGGUACAUUCGUGGGUAAAUCAACCAGCUCAACUGAUUGAAUUCUGCGAGCACGGCCAGACUUGGGACCGGGAGAGGUGUGGGGUACGCUCAGGGUAGGGGUAAAAUCCUGUCAUCCUGAGCGGACCACCUGUUGCGAAGGCGCCACACUAGAACGGAUCCGACGGUCAGGGACGAAGCCUAGGGGCACGAACCGGAUUAGAUACCCGGGUAGUCCUAGGUGUAAACGCUGUGGACUUGGUGUUGGGGACUCUCCGAGAUUCCUCAGUGCCGAAGCGAAGGUGAUAAGUCCACUGCCUGGGGAGUACGGUCGCAAGGCUGAAACUUAAAGGAAUUGGCGGGGGAGCACCGCAACCUGAGGAUUGUGCGGUUUAAUUGGAUUC
rnacentral:rRNA from 1 species